UUAUUUUUCAGUUCUCCACCUAUUUUCCUGGUUACUUUGAUGGCCAGUACUGGCUUUGGUGGGUCUUCCUUGUACUAGGUUUUCUGCUGUUUCUCAGAGGAUUUAUUAAUUAUUCAAAGGUUAGGAAGAUGCCAGACACUUUUUCCACUCUCCCCAGAACCAGAGUUCUCUUUAUUUACUAAAGCUGUGUUCUGGCGAGCGUCUUCCUGCGCCAGCGAAUCCCCCCUCCAGAGGCAGCAGGACACCUGCAGGAAGUGAAUCAAGAGCAGAAGCAACAAUAAUCACCUGCUUUCCAAUGAAUCAAUCAAUAAAAGUACUGUUGG